rnacentral:rRNA from 1 species
CGUAGGGUGCAAGCGUUAAUCGGAAUUACUGGGCGUAAAGCGUGCGCAGGCGGUUUUAUAAGUCUGAUGUGAAAUCCCCGGGCUCAACCUGGGAACUGCAUUGGAGACUGUAAGGCUAGAGUGUGUCAGAGGGGGGUAGAAUUCCACGUGUAGCAGUGAAAUGCGUAGAUAUGUGGAGGAAUACCGAUGGCGAAGGCAGCCCCCUGGGAUAACACUGACGCUCAUGCACGAAAGCGUGGGGAGCAAACAGGAUUAGAUACCCUGGUAGUCCACGCCCUAAACGAUGUCUACUUGUUGUCGGGUCUUAAUUGACUUGGUAACGCAGCUAACGCGUGAAGUAGACCGCCUGGGGAGUACGGUCGCAAGAUUA